rnacentral:rRNA from 1 species
UGCAAGUCGAACGAUGAAGCCUAGCUUGCUGGGUGGAUUAGUGGCGAACGGGUGAGUAACACGUGAGUAACCUGCCCUUGACUCUGGGAUAAGCGCUGGAAACGGCGUCUAAUACCGGAUAUGACCUGCCCCGGCAUCGGGUGUGGGUGGAAAGUUUUUCGGUCAAGGAUGGACUCGCGGCCUAUCAGCUUGUUGGUGAGGUAAUGGCUCACCAAGGCGACGACGGGUAGCCGGCCUGAGAGGGUGACCGGCCACACUGGGACUGAGACACGGCCCAGACUCCUACGGGAGGCAGCAGUGGGGAAUAUUGCACAAUGGGCGAAAGCCUGAUGCAGCAACGCCGCGUGGGGGAUGACGGCCUUCGGGUUGUAAACCUCUUUUAGUAGGGAAGAAGGGCUUCGGCUUGACGGUACCUGCAGAAAAAGCACCGGCUAACUACGUGCCAGCAGCCGCGGUAAUACGUAGGGUGCAAGCGUUGUCCGGAAUUAUUGGGCGUAAAGAGCUCGUAGGCGGUUUGUCGCGUCUGCUGUGAAAACCCGAGGCUCAACCUCGGGCCUGCAGUGGGUACGGGCAGACUAGAGUGCGGUAGGGGAGAAUGGAAUUCCUGGUGUAGCGGUGGAAUGCGCAGAUAUCAGGAGGAACACCGAUGGCGAAGGCAGUUCUCUGGGCCGUUACUGACGCUGAGGAGCGAAAGCGUGGGGAGCGAACAGGAUUAGAUACCCUGGUAGUCCACGCCGUAAACGUUGGGAACUAGAUGUGGGGGCCUUUCCACGGUCUCCGUGUCGCAGCUAACGCAUUAAGUUCCCCGCCUGGGGAGUACGGCCGCAAGGCUAAAACUCAAAGGAAUUGACGGGGGCCCGCACAAGCGGCGGAGCAUGCGGAUUAAUUCGAUGCAACGCGAAGAACCUUACCAAGGCUUGACAUAUACCGGAAACUUCCAGAGAUGGUUGCCCCGCAAGGUCGGUAUACAGGUGGUGCAUGGUUGUCGUCAGCUCGUGUCGUGAGAUGUUGGGUUAAGUCCCGCAACGAGCGCAACCCUCGUUCUAUGUUGCCAGCACGUUAUGGUGGGAACUCAUAGGAGACUGCCGGGGUCAACUCGGAGGAAGGUGGGGAUGACGUCAAAUCAUCAUGCCCCUUAUGUCUUGGGCUUCACGCAUGCUACAAUGGCCGGUACAAAGGGCUGCGAUACCGUAAGGUGGAGCGAAUCCCAAAAAGCCGGUCUCAGUUCGGAUUGAGGUCUGCAACUCGACCUCAUGAAGUCGGAGUCGCUAGUAAUCGCAGAUCAGCAACGCUGCGGUGAAUACGUUCCCGGGCCUUGUACACACCGCCCGUCAAGUCAUGAAAGUCGGUAACACCCGAAGCCAGUGGCCUAACCGU